rnacentral:rRNA from 1 species
UACGUAGGGGGCAAGCGUUGUCCGGAUUUAUUGGGCGUAAAGAGCGUGUAGGCGGUUUGGUAGGUCCGUUGUGAAAACUCGAGGCUCAACCUCGAGACGCCGAUGGAAACCAUCAGACUAGAGUCCGGAAGAGGAGAGUGGAAUUCCUGGUGUAGCGGUGAAAUGCGCAGAUAUCAGGAGGAACACCGGUGGCGAAGGCGGUUCUCUGGGCAUUACCUGACGCUGAGGAGCGAAAGCGUGGGGAGCAAACAGG